rnacentral:rRNA from 1 species
AUUGAACGCUGGCGGAAUGCUUUACACAUGCAAGUCGAACGGCAGCACGGACUUCGGUCUGGUGGCGAGUGGCGAACGGGUGAGUAAUGUAUCGGAACGUGCCCAGUCGUGGGGGAUAACGUAGUGAAAAUUACGCUAAUACCGCCUACGAUCUAUGAAUGAAAGCGGGGGAUCGCAAGACCUCGCGCGAUUGGAGCGGCCGAUAUCAGAUUAGGUAGGUGGUGGGGUAAAGGCCCACCAAGCCAACGAUCUGUAGCUGGUCUGAGAGGACGACCAGCCACACUGGAACUGAGACACGGUCCAGACUCCUACGGGAGGCAGCAGUGGGGAAUUUUGGACAAUGGGCGAAAGCCUGAUCCAGCCAUUCCGCGUGCAGGAUGAAGGCCCUCGGGUUGUAAACUGCUUUUGUACAGAACGAAAAGGUUUCUACUAAUACUAGGAGCUCAUGACGGUACUGUAAGAAUAAGCACCGGCUAACUACGUGCCAGCCGCCGCAGUAA